AUGGAUAGGGAGGGAGACCUGAGUUUUCCCAACAAUGUUGUGUACGCGGCGAAGCAGGUCUACAGCCUCGGGAGGCUGUUCUUUGCCUGCAUGGUCGCCGGCGGCAUCCAGUACGCCUGGGCGCUGCAGCUCUCCCUCCUCUCCCCCUACACUCAGAGUCUUGGGAUCCCACACCACCACGUUUCCCUCACUUUGGUCUGCGGACCUAUCGCUGGGUUUGUUGUGCCACCCAUCGUGGGUUACUACAGCGACCGGUGCACGGCGAUGAUGGGCCGGAGAAGACCCUUCAUCGUCGCCGGAUGUCUCAUCAUCUGCCUCUCCGUGAUGCUCAUCGGCUUCUCGGCAGACAUUGGGCGGCUACUCGGCGACACCAAGGAGCAUUGCACCACCAGCACGGGCGCUCGCUGGGCUGCCACAGCCGUGUAUAUCGUCGGGUUCUGGUUCCUCAAUUUCGCCAACAAUGCCGCCCAAGGUCCGGCUCGUGCACUCAUGGCUGAUCUCUCUGCUGGAAACUAUAUGCCCAGCGUCGGGCAGGCCAUCUUCUGCGGGUGGAUGGCCAUCGGCAACGUCCUGGGCUAUAUGGCCGGCGCCGACGGUGAAUGGCACGUGUGGCUCCCUUGGCUCAAAACUGCGGCGUGCUGCGAAGCCUGCGCAAAUCUCAAGGGCGCCUUCCUCACCGCUGUGAUCGUCAUUAUCAUCAGUACGUCCAUCACCAUGUAUAUUGCUGAAGAGAAGCAGCUCGACAAUGCCGACGUGGAGGCCUCCUCUGGCCGCCGUGGAUGCAUAUGCCGCUUUGGCGACUUCUUCAAGAGCUUGAAGAACCUUCCCCCAUCUAUGUUCAAAGUGCUCGCCGUCACGGCUGUAACCUGGCUAGCGUGGUUCCCCUUCAUCCAGUAUGGCACUGACUGGAUGGGCAGGGAGAUCUACCACGGCGAGCCGCAGGGGCCCAAGGUGGCCGUCUACUACGCCGGCGUCCGCGAGGGUGCCGUCGGCCUGCUGCUCUCUUCUAUGUGCCUCUUGGCCGCCUCCUUCAACACCCCCCACCUUUGCGGUAGGCUCACGUCCAGGGUCGUGUGGUCCUUAAGCAACUUCAUCCUAUUUGGCAUCAUGACAGCCAUGGUGAUCCUUGGCUUGGUCUCCACCAAGGGGUACAACGCGUCUUUCACGGCUGGCCUCACCGGCCCUGACCCCAAGCUUAGGGUCAUCGCGCUCUCCCUCUUCGCGCUCAUCGGAAUCCCACAGGCCGUGUUGUUCAGUGUACCGUGGGCUGUUGCUUCUAAGGUUGCCGACGACGGUGGCCAUUGCCUCGCCAUUGGUGUCCUGAACAUUGCCAUCGUCGUGCCACAGCUGAUUAUCGUGCUCACCGCUGGCCCGAUCGAGAAAGCCUUUGGAAAGGGCAACACACCGGCAUUCGGCAUUGGUUGCGCCUUCGCCUUCAUCUGUGCAGUCCUUGCGCUCAUCCUCCUUCCCAAGACAAGAGGCACGAGAGGGCCAUGGCCUCCAGGGAGCGCUGAUAUGGUACAUCCCCAGGCACGAGAGGGACCUUGGAUGCAAACUUGUUCUCAAGCUAAGUGGGUUAUCUACGAGCAAUUAGAAGACUAG
rnacentral:rRNA from 1 species